rnacentral:sRNA from 1 species
GUGGGCCGGGCCGCCAGUGUCAUCAUUGUUUGACUGCUCCAUGGAGACGAUGCUCCGAGUGCUGCACUGGGGCCAGGUGGAGCACCCGGCAGACGACUCGGAUCUGGCCAUCUGCCAGCGCUUGGACAUGCACUACACCUUGUGUGAGCCGGUCUUGACCUACCAGCAGAAUAACCUGCUCCGAAAUAUACCGGCAGAGGAAGCACCAGAGAACAUCUCUGCCAAGUGCUGCUCUGUCAUUGAGAGUCUGCAGUGAGACAGAGGGGCUGGGGGCAGGCCUUGCCCCUCACCGGAACCCGUGCAGGACGUGGGAAGGAUGCGU